rnacentral:rRNA from 1 species
AGCUCCACUAGCGUAUAUUAUUGAUGUUGCAGUUGAAACGUUCGUAGUCUCCGGUAAUGCGUAACAUUGUUGUGUUCUCGAAUGAUCAUAUCAAUUGGCGCAUUGGUUACGGCAGGAGCUCUUCGGCUUCCUACCAAGUUACCUUGAGUAAAUCGGCGCGCUCAGAGCAGGAGAACGCCAUGAACGAUUAACCAUGGGAUAACUAACUAUUUUACCAUCGCACUUUUGUUCGCUCGGUCGAUGGUUGAUUUUCACGAGAACGGUUAAGGGCGUCCGGAUUGUGUAGUCAGAGGUGAAAUUCUACAACCUUCACAGGCCGAUCAACGGCGUAGGCAUUCGCCCGAAACGUUUCUG